GAAUAUUUUCACUAGAUAUUGAUCUUCAAUUUAAAAACAAACGAGAUUAAGUCUCUUGUCAACUACUCACCAAGAUAUUUCUUGCUUUUUUAUAAUGCGCGUGGAUAUAUUGGUCCAUUUCAGUGACAUACAU